GUCCUGGGGAGAGCUCGGCGGCUCCCGGUAUUGCGGGUCCUGUGUGACAAUGGGUCUACCGGCCGGUGGGAUUCGCGUGUCGCUGGCCUCGCUGGGCCGGGUUCGUGACGUCAUAAAACAUGAAGGUAGCUGAAUCCAGACCAGAACUAACAUUUGCUCAAGAUUGGGUCCCAAAAAGGAGAGCCAGUACCCAAGUCAAAUCUCGAACUACAAGUACUUAUUACAGUCUUUCUGGAACCCACGAAUGCCAAGGCACUUGCUCCACAAGACAGCCUGGAACCAAGGUGUAAUCAAGCCUUUCACUGGUCCCACUGGACUGGGCUAUGAAUCAUCUCCCUUUCUUACCCAACUGGCACAGAUAAAUAGCAACUGAACAGCAUUUUGUCUCCUGAAGAGUAUAAUUUCCUUAAAUUAACAUAAGGUACUAGCUGUUCUAUUCACUUGCAGCUUUUAUAAGGCCAGACAUAUCUCAGGAAGGCCUCACUAAUCUCAGGAAGCAACCCACACGUGGAAAAAGCCUAUUACAGAGGUGAAAUCCUCUUAAGGAGAUGGAGUAGGCAGAAUCGUCGUCAUGAUCACCUGUCUGGGAAAUCUGAGCUGAUGGGACCUGAACAGCACUGCAGCUCCAAGCAAUAACACCACCUUUUGUGCUCAGGUUCAUUUUAUUGCCGAAAUCAUUCUGUCACCUGCCUCUUCCCUGGGGGCUGAGCUAAUAAGAGAUUGUUGCAUCUAUCAGCAAGACCAACUGGUCCACUGAAAUUUAUCUCACAAAUAGUAGCUGGUCAAAAGAUGAGAAAGUGGCACAAAGUGGUCUAAUUUUUGUAAGUCCCCUCCCCCCCACACACACACCUACACACCUUUGUGGAAAAAACACCAGCUUUUCCUUCAGUGAAGCAGCAACCUGUAAAGUAAUGGGUCCUUUCAGAGCAUUCAGAUAUGGCCUACAUUGGGGCUGAUAUUUAUUCCACUGGUUUCUGGCAUUUUAUUCAGGUUAAACUUGCAGUGUUUCAGUCUUCAGCUGAAAGUGACUUUUUUCCCUAAUCUUCAUAACCUGGAGGGAGUACAAAUCAUUUAGGUAUAUACAACUGUAGUAAUGCAUUCAAAGUAUAAACAAAAAGUAGGAAAAAUUUUUUUCCCUGUGGAUUCCUGCUAAAUAUUUUAAGAAUCAGUGGGGAUUAUGAUAUUCACUCAUUUUUUAACCAUGGGUCGGA